rnacentral:rRNA from 1 species
GGGGAAGGGCAUGGUCUGCAUACCUGACCUAUCGGCCGACGGUUGAGUAAUGCUUAGGAAUCUGCCUAUGAGUGGGGGACAACAUUCCGAAAGGAAUGCUAAUACCGCAUACGCCCUACGGGGGAAAGCAGGGGAUUUUCGGACCUUGCGCUAAUAGCAUGAGCCUAAGUCAGCAUCAACUAGUUGGUGGGGUAAAGGCCUACCAAGGCGACGAUCUGAAGCGGCUCUGAGAGGAUGAUCCGCCACACUGGGACUGAGACACCGCCCAGACUCCUACGGGAGGCAGCAGUGGGGAAUAUUGGACACUGGGCGAAAGCCUGAUCCAGCCAUGCCGCGUGUGUGAAGAAGGCCUUUAUGGUUGGAAAGCACUUUAAAGCGAGGAGGAGGCCUACUCGAGAUUAAUACUCUUGGAUAGUGGACCCUUACUCGCAAAAUAAGCACCGGCUAACUUUGUUGCCAACAACCCCCGGUUAAUACACAGGGCGCCAGCCGCUAAUCGG